rnacentral:rRNA from 1 species
UACAGAGGGUGCGAGCGUUAAUCGGAAUUACUGGGCGUAAAGGGCGCGUAGGCGGCCCGCUAAGUCGAACGUGAAAUCCCCGAGCUCAACUCGGGAACUGCGUCCGAUACUGGCGGGCUUGAAUCCGGGAGAGGGAUGCGGAAUUCCAGGUGUAGCGGUGAAAUGCGUAGAUAUCUGGAGGAACACCGGUGGCGAAGGCGGCAUCCUGGACCGGCAUUGACGCUGAGGCGCGAAAGCUAGGGGAGCAAACGGG